UCGUAGAUUCAUUUAACAUUUUGUGGUCUUUCGGACAACACCCGAAGCGGAAGUCUUCAGCUCAGUAAUUAUUACGAUACAAUAUCCAAAUUUUCUCUCACAAGAGUCGAAUUACAAAAAUUAGGCGAUCCGCGCAUUAAACACAAAUUAUUGGAGUUAAGUAUAUAUGAUCUGUAAAUACUGUGUACGGAAAUGAUGCUGAUGCAGAGAUGACAUUUUCUAGUUACGCUGGCGAGCAGGAGAUAUACAUACAUAUCUGGAAUGGAUUUAUCUGAACAAUAGCCGAAAUUGUAAGUAGUAUUAUGAUUGCAAUUUUGAUAUUGUGAUGAAUUAGCCAAAUUGCAUUUCAAUUGUGAUUAAGGCUGAAAGUUGUAACUGAAAACUCUUAGAAAUAAACAUAAUGACACCAUAGCGAUGACUGUCAUCCAUCGACCAUCGAGUCCAUCGUUUUUCCAUAAUAUUUCUGAUUGCCCUUCUCUGAUGCCAAAAUAAAGUUCUUAUUGAACCUUUCGGGCUGUUGUAACAUUGGACUGGCGACACAACUGUAAUAAAUGAUAAUUCAGCUUCAUAAAUAAGUCAUCAACGGAAAAAUCUUCAAAUAUGUAUACAGAAACUGAAAUAUAAAAAAGUGUAUACAUCUUAGUACGUGAAUGUCAAGAAGGAAAUCGAAAAUCAGCGUAUUCUAUGAAUGCAACUUGACAUUGGAACUGGAAUAUGUUACAUCACCAACUGGAAUAUAGCAACGCAAGUAACAAAGGGCAAGUAGACCGUAUUAUUGGGUUCAAAAAACAAUUAAACUUACAAUCGCGAUUAAUACUAUAUUGCAGAAUUUCAUAAUAAUAGUAUUCAUAACACAAAGAUCAAGAGAAUCUGUUUAAUCAGUUUACUGCACAUUUUGCAAUUGCAAUUGAGAGAUCAACUGGGAAAGAAACUUCUCUAGAAAAGGAGCAAAUACCAUAUGUUUAGUUAAAAACAUUAAAAUGUACGUAGUAAGAAAUAUAAGCGAUUAAUAGUUCUAGUAUAAUUCGGCAAAAAAAAACUAAACUAAACUAAAAAAAAACUUUAAUCUAAGCAAUCGAAGGAGACAAUUCAAAAACUUUUAUAAGGGAACAAAUCAUUGUUUGAUAGCAUGUUUGUAAACAUUUUAUGCUCAUAUAAAAUAACAAUCCGUUAAUGAAAAACUGUAAAUUUACAAAAUAAUAUAAAUUAAUGAUUGCACUUGCAUAACAGCCAAUAAUAGGCUGUUAAAUUAGUAAAUUUAAUAUUGUAUUUAAAGUUCAUAAGGAUAAAUCCAUAAAUAGCACUUAUUUAAAAGCAAGAAAAGCAAAAAAGCAAUUUCCAAGACUUCUAUCAGUAACACAAUAUAUGGAUAUAUGUAGAUAGAUAACAAGAUAUAGAUAGUGUAACUAAGAUACUUUUAAACCAGACAUUUUGAACUUUAAUUUUGGUUGGCUCCAAUAGAAUUUUAUAUUUUGGCACAACUCACAGUCAUGCUUAA